rnacentral:rRNA from 1 species
AUUGAACGCUGGCGGCAGGCCUAACACAUGCAAGUCGAGCGGUAGCACAGAGAGCUUGCUCUCGGGUGACGGGCGGCGGACGGGUGAGUAAUGUCUGGGAAACUGCCUGAUGGAGGGGAUAACUACUGGAAACGGUAGCUAAUACCGCAUAAUGUCGCAAGACCAAAGUGGGGGACCUUCGGGCCUCAUGCCAUCAGAUGUGCCCAGAUGGGAUUAGCUGGUAGGUGGGGUAACGGCUCACCUAGGCGACGAUCCCUAGCUGGUCUGAGAGGCUGACCAGCCACACUGGAACGGAGACACGGUCCAGACUCCUACGGGAGGCAGCAGUGGGGAAUGUUGCACAAGGGGCGCAAGCCUGAUGCAGCCAUGCCGCGUGUGUGAAGAAGGCCUUCGGGUUGUAAAGCACUUUCAGAGGGGAGGAAGGCGGUGAGGUUAAUAACCUCAUCGAUUGACGUUACCCGCAGAAGAAGCACCGGCUAACUCCGUGCCAGCCGCCGCGGUAAAAC